rnacentral:rRNA from 1 species
UACGGAGGGUGCAAGCGUUGUCCGGAUUUAUUGGGUUUAAAGGGUGCGUAGGCGGCCCUGUAAGUCAGUGCUGAAAUAUCCCGGCUUAACCGGGAGGGUGGCAUUGAUACUGCAGGGCUUGAGUGAAGUCGAGGUAGGCGGAAUUGACGGUGUAGCGGUGAAAUGCUUAGAUAUCGUCAAGAACACCGAUAGUGAAGACAGCUUACUAGACUUCAACUGACGCUGAGGCACGAAAGUGUGGGGAUCAAACAGG